rnacentral:lncRNA from 1 species
ACUCAAAUCAAAUACAAAAGGUUCAAAUCAAUUCAACUUGAACCCAACCGGGAUGAUCUGAAUUAAGUAAACCAACUCCGCCCAAAUUGAAAUAGAUCAACAAUUCAAUCUGAGCUAAAUUCAACUUAACUGGCUAAGUCAACUUAAUUGACUCAUAAGCCAGAAUCAAAUAACCAUCAAGUUGUUAAACUGAACAAAUGACCGUCAAGUCGUUAAACUGAAUAAAUGACCACCAAGUCGUUAAACUGAGCAAAUCAAAUCAAACUUUUCUUGACUGCCAAGUCGAUAAACUAAGCAAAUCAAAUCAAACACUCAUUUUUGAUUUGACCGCCAAGUCUUUCAAUUUGACCACCAAGUAGUUAAACUGAGCUAAUCAAUUUGACCGCUAAGUCGUUAAACUGAACAUGUUAAAUUCAACUUCAACUCAAAUUGACCGCCAAGUCGUUAAAUUAAGUAAGUUAAAAUUCAGCCUUAACUCAAUUUCGACCACCAAGUCCAGAAAUUGAGCAUUUUAGUUUUAGAAAAAUUUAUGUACAGUGGGGGUAUGCUCCCGCUUAAACGAUGUAUAUAGCAACUUAUAUUAAUAAAGUUUUAUUUUUAUGCUUCGGUCUCUUUUAUUAUCAAUAUUUAAAUUUUGUCUCUUAAUUGAGGGUUUUUAACAUUGCAAAUGCGGGAUAAUUAAUAAUAGAUUUUUGAGUUUGCUGGAAGCUGCGGAUUUACAAUCCAGAUUUCAAAAUAAAACCUAAAUAAAUUUAAUCUCUACCAGAAAUGACAGUUUGCUAGAGAAAGACUUGCGGU